rnacentral:rRNA from 1 species
GUCCACGCCUUAAACGAUGAGAGCUAGUUGUCAGUAAGCAUGCUUAUUGGUGACGCAGCUAACGCAUUAAGCUCUCCGCCUGGGGAGUACGGCCGCAAGGUUAAAACUCAAAGAAAUUGACGGGGGCCCCGCACAAGCGGUGGAGCAUGUGGUUUAAUUCGAAGCAACGCGCAGAACCUUACCCACCUUUGACAUCCCGUGUUAUCUAGAGAGAUCUAGAGUCCCUUCGGGGCGCGGAGACAGGUGCUGCAUGGCUGUCGU